AUACGGAGGAUCCGAGCGUUAUCCGGAUUUAUUGGGUUUAAAGGGUGCGCAGGCGGCCAUUUAAGUCAGCGGUUAAAUCGUGGGGCUCAACCCCAUUUUGCCGUUGAUACUGGGUGGCUUGAUUGCGGUCGAGGUUGGCGGAAUUCGUUGUGUAGCGGUGAAAUGCAUAGAUAUGACGAAGAACACCGAUUGCGUAGGCAGCUGACCAGACCGCAAAUGACGCUCAUGCACGAAAGUGCGGGGAUCGAACAGGAUUAGAUACCCUGGUAGUCCGCACAGUAAACGAUGAAUACUUGUUUUCGGCGAUAUAAUGUCGGAGGCAAAGCGAAAGCGAUAAGUAUUCCACCUGGGGAGUACGCCGGCAACGGUGAAACUCAAAGGAAUUGACGGG
rnacentral:rRNA from 1 species